AAAAAACACACUAAAACUAAAAACAAAACACAAGCUCUCCUCUCUCAUUUCACUCAGUUCACCUUACCUCAAACCCAAACCCAGCUCCCUCACCUCACCUCUCGAACCUGCCUCAAACUCAAACUUAUUCAAACUCACCUCUUUCGUUUCACUCACCUCUCUCAUCUCACAACAAAAUCACCCACUCGCGCACUCAAGACUCACUCGCCAAUCGGAUGAGCAAAUUCGUGGGUUCUUCAAGAGUUUCUUCUGAUGGGUGAUUUAGGGUUUCAUGUUGCAACUUGGAUAUCAGACUUCAAUCGGGUGUUGGGGGUCAUCAUAUAUAACUCUGUUCCUACUUUCAAUUGGCGAUUUCAGCAACAGGAAAAUUCUGAGUUUAUUUAUAAGAACCAGAUCAAGAUGGCUACAUUUGCGGAUAUUGGAUUUGCCGCAGCUAUCAAUAUCAUCACUACAUUUACUUGUUUGGACUCGUCGUCUGAGUUCUUUAUCUGAUGAAGAUAACAACCCAUAAUCUUUGCUGGCAAUUAGAUUGAACAAAAAUGUACAUGGAUUAUAUGACAUUCUUCUCAAUUAUAGGUCAAUUUUGACCUCUAUGUGAAUGGUGUAAAUGUUCUGGUAGUGUAUGCGCCACUGCCUUUUGAAAAUGCAUCUAUUUCUACACCAGAGCGUGGACUGCUGUGUUCAACGGAAGUUUGCUGUCUCAAGGGCCUCUAGCAGUAACAAUACCAGGCACUGCAAAGUGCUGUGACCAGAAAGGACUCAGACUCAUCAAACAGUGACAAAAUUAUCUGGGUUUUUAUGGACAUGGGCCGAUCAAUAAGCAAAGAGGUGCAGCUUGUCUUCUGUCAUACCGUGUCCAAAGGCUAUUAGGGAGAAUGUGCCAAGCAGAUCUUGACAAAGAAGCAAGCCCGGAUUUUAAUUUCAAAUUUUAAUUGGAGUUUUAUAUUGUACCUAGCUAAUUUCAAUUUCAUGCACUAGUACUCAUGAUCUUGAUGUGGUUGAUAGGCUUGGACCAUUGUUUUGGUUCUUGGAUUGUGUUUGUUGUUGAAUGUUUGGUAAACUUUGAAAUGGGAAGUGCUAUUUUCAAAUGUUA